CAAAUACCAAUAUCGAUUAAUUGAGCACUACAUCAAGGCGUCGGAAUAAUAACCACGCGCGUGGCUUUGAAGGAUCCUGAAUCUAGUAGUUCAUGCAAACAGUAGCAUAUCUCAUUAGAUCAUAAUGCUCAAGUUGACCAUGUUCUGCACAGAAUGGAUGAUGAACCUUGGACACCACUAUACUUUAGAAGGAUUAUUCAAGAACUCACCUGUGCUUAUUUCAGUCACAAUCUCCAUGAAAGAACUGCACAAAUUGGAUCCUUGAUUGGUUCAACGGUGAGAAUGGCAUCAUCCGAUGAGUUGCAUCACCCACAGCAUUCCAAAUAAAAUACCCAGUAUUUGCAUUGUUGGUCAGAGAGACUAUUCUACAAAGCGAAGGCGAAGAGUCUCCUACAUGCUUCACAUACAUGUUGACCAAAGCAAAUCUAAGAGUUGGAUUCCUUUAAUCCAUGUUGUGUCGGGAUCAAGCUUCCAUGCUUGGUUACAGCCUGAACUUCAUAUAAAGAAAGAACAGUUGUGUAGGAUCAGAUUUCGAUAGCUAAUCUCGUUAUCUCUUGCGAGAAGCCAUAUUCUACACCACUUCAAGCAGAUCUGCAGGUGUCUCCUUGACACAUUCUACAUCAUGAGACCCUCCAAUAAUAUGUCCGGCUGUGCCAUGGCACUCGUCAUCAGCUCUUUUCUUGUUUUGGGAGUCAUUUACGCCUGCUUGUGGAUGCCUGAGGGAUCAACAGCUUUCUUUCACCUGCAGCGCAACAUAAAUACUGUAAGUUCAACAUGAGAACUCAUUCAUCAAGUUAGCAAUACUGAGUACAAACAGAAGUAAAAAGCUAUUUUAAUUUUUCGAGAAAUUUUCGUCCUGCCAAGUAUGUGAAGAGCUCAUCAACUAGCUUGUGUAUUGUACAUGGGCAGACAAGAAACAUACCAAAAGACAAACUAGAAGCAGCUCUGGUGAGAGUUUCUGUGGCGAACAAGACUACGAUCAUCGCAAUACUGAACAAGGCGUAU
rnacentral:lncRNA from 1 species